CCUGCUCUUGUGGUAAGUGCAUUUGUGGAACUGGAUGGUUUGGAAACUUGUGUCAGCAUCCAAGGAAGUGUAACAUGACGGAGGAAGAGAGCAGAAGUUUGUGUGAAUCAGCAGAUGGCAUAUUGUGCUCAGGAAAGGGUUCCUGCCACUGUGGAAAGUGCAUCUGUUCACCCCAGGAAUGGUACAUUUCAGGGGAAUUCUGUGAAUGUGAUGACAGAGACUGCGACAAACAUGAUGGGCUCAUUUGCACAGGCAAUGGUGUAUGUAGCUGCGGGAACUGUGAGUGCUGGGAAGGAUGGAAUGGAAAUGCGUGUGAAAUCUGGCUCGGGACAGAAUACCCUUAACUACAACAAAGAACAUCAAGGACUGAGGGUUGUUUCAUGUGUUUUGUUUGUUUGUUUUUUAAGCUGCUAUAACACGUAAAUGCAGGGUGAAAGACAUAGAGCAACCACUAGAAAUACCCAGACUGCAUCUGUAUUUCAGAGCACCCUACCAAGGGCCUGCUUCUGUUCCUAUAGAUGCCCGUGACAAAUCUAACAUUGCUUCAAUGGGAACAGAAUUUGGCCAUAAAAUACUUAAAGCUGUAUUGGAGUUAAUGGGAAUUUUGCUUGUAGUCAAAUGUUUAUAGUCAAAUUAAAAUCGGCCUUAAAUAGUGUUUGAUGGAAGUAGCACAAAAGCAGUUUUUUUGCAUAAUCUACUUUCUUUUUCCAAUUUCAGUGUUGCUACAUAAUAACAUUAAGAAAAAAGCAUAUAGUUGAAUAUUUGGCAAAAACAAUUCUGAUGAAUUUGAUAGUGUUUGUGAAAUAUUUCAUUUGACCUUUGAUUCCCUUCUAUUUAUGCUGAUUAUGUCAGGGCUCCAAUAACAAGAGAAGCUGUAAAUUGCUCAUCAAAACCUUAAUGCUUUUAAUUUUUGUCUGAGAAUCGUAUUUGUCUAACUGAGAUUCAAAUACCUAUGCACCACAUACAGUAGAUCAAUGACAGAAGUUAUGAAACCUGACCCCAUUGCUAGAACAGCACAUUUUUUAAACACAUAAUUUUGUGGCUUCUGUGUCAGUAAGCUGGUUAUUUAGUCUUCAUACGCCAAUACUCUGAAAUGCAUAUUCUUUAAGAUUAUAAAAAAAAUUAAAAACAGAGAAGAUAAACUGUAUGAUUUGCUAUUUUGAAUAAAUAUAUUAACUUGUAUGUACUUUCAUCAUACUGUUUUAUGUAUGUUCACUUUAUCUAGAUCUUAAAAGUAAAGCAAAUGAAAUGUUAACUUUUAGGAUGCCAAUUCUGUAUUCUAUUAGGACUUGCUGCUUAGGAACAGAUUACACUGCCACAUGUGGUAUCCAUUGAAUUUUACUAUUUUUGUGCAAAGUGGGAGUCGAAAGGUCAACUGAAUUGGAAAGUCAGUUAUAUAGUAUGGAAGACGGGAAUCAGCCAAACACACACAGAGGAUGGCAAAAAAGUAUAUAUGUUUUAAAACAGUAAAUACAAACAAUGCAGUGGAAUGAACAAACUUUUUAUUUUUUUCCAAUGGUGAAAUGCUCAGUGUGAAAUUCACAUUGAAUUAUGAAAAAAAUGCACAAGUGUUGGGACUUCCCUAAUUUAUUUACAUUUCCUUUUCUUUUUUGUACAUGUAAAUUUGGCAGCCCUUUAAUUUUUCAGAGCAAAAAAAAUACAUACAUUUUCUUUUCAAAAGUUAGUGAUUACAUCUCAAAAGUAUGACUAAGCAAUAAAAAGACUUCAAUGUUUCUUUUAAUAUCAAACUGUAAUAUUGUGUUGUGAUUUAGGGAUCAUGGUUCAGUCUGUUAGAGAGAUGCAGGACUCAGAAUGAAGGAACCUGGUUUUCAGCUGAAAAAAUGUAUUUCCAUCAUGACACUAGAAAUUUAUUUUCUUAUAGAAAGGACUCAGAUGAAAUAGGAAAAGACAACAGUACAGAGCACGUAAUAGUUAUAAGCAUGAAAACGUUUAAUGCAGUGACUGAAUGGUUUUCAACACAUUUUCAUUCUGUUCCCACUUUUAUUUUGUUCCCAUUCUUUAUCUUACCUGAUCAUCUUUUUUUCUAAAAGAAAAAAGAAGACAAAAAAGAAGAAAAAGAAAUGCUACUUCUCAGGGAGACAACACAGUCACCUCAAAAAGUCUUUGCAUAACACCGACAUAAUGAGAACCCCCCCUUCCCCA